GGCGUUCGCCUGUGGUUAGACGAGGGCACUCCGCCAGGCACGGAAGUGAGCAGCGGACCCUCGUACACCUGUCGCUCGUCGGAUCGCGGGGUGG
rnacentral:SRP_RNA from 1 species